ACUUGUUAAAGACGUGAUUGGCUGAAGAAAGCCCAGAUUAAGGGGUUGGAGCUCAUUAGUAAUAAGAGAAGGAUUUCCAUUCACUUAAUAGUGACCAGCAUUUGGGAAGACUGAGGAGAGACAGUGAAAAUGCAAAAAAACAUCUGAAUUUUAGGAAGUAGAAGUUGAAAACAAUCUGUGUUACUUGCAUGGAAACCACAGAGAAGGAUACAUUAGAGAAAGUGCACAGUUGAAGAUAGACUCCCUGUGUGUGACAUGGAUUAAUUCUAUGAAUGGGGCAAGUUUACCAGCCAUGUGACUGUUUCAGCACAGAACUGUCGACAGGAGUCUUCAAGGCAGACUCUGGACAAUAGCAAGCUGUUACUGCCACCCUCAUCUCGUAGAAGUAAAGGGCAUUGGAGGAAGAUGUUGAGCAUCAAUCAUGUGCACACAAAGAUGCAGAGCUUAGAGUUCAACCCAAGUUAUCUGAUGGGUCCAUGCGGGAGGCUCACCUGGAUGCACCUGCCACUCCUGUCCGGCUCCUGGUGGAGUCUCUACUGCUGCUGCCGUGCUGACAGGCAAGCCCCAGGCUCUGCCUCAGGGCCUGAGCCCCUGACCCAGGGCUGGCUAGCUCUCUUCUGUCUCCUGCCUGUCUCUGAGACUGUGGGGUCCAGACCCGAGGAUGCUACAGGAGGAGUCAACUCUUGACAUCACACCAUCAGUGUCCAAAUCCCAGCCUCCAGUCCUUCUUGGUUCUGUCAGCAUCCUAUAGGUCUUCAUCAUGUCAAAGCAGGAGAUACAGCAUGGAUAAACAGAGGAUGGGUAAUCACAUGGAGGAGAACUGAAGAGUCUCAGCUGGCAUCCAGUACCAAGUGCUGCACAUUUGAGUGAGGACAACUUGGACCCUCCGGCCACAGAGAAGCCUUCAGAUAAUCGCAGCCUGAAUGAUCCCAGGAGAUCCAGCCAGGGGUUUGGAGGCCCAAUGGAUGGUGGCAUUGCAAGAAGUGUUGCGGGAUUUUUUUUUUUUUUACCUCAAAAUGCAGGGUUCGUUGUCAUGCUGCUUUGAAGAAUGAAGAGGAGGACACUAGGAUUACUAAGUACGAAUAGUGUGAAAGCUCUCUUUACAGAGAGGGGGCUUUACAGAGAAAGGUCCUUGUUUUAUAAGGUUCUGGUCAGCCUUCC